rnacentral:rRNA from 1 species
UGGGGAAGUAAUUGGACAAUGGGCGGAAGACCUCGAUCCAGCCAUGCCGCGUGUGUGAAGAAGGUCUUCGGAUUGUAAAGCACUUUAAGUUGGGAGGAAGGGCAGUAAGUUAAUACCUUGCUGUUUUGACGUUACCGACAGAAUAAGCACCGGCUAACUCUGUGCCAGCAGCCGCGGUAAUACAGAGGGUGCAAGCGUUAAUCGGAAUUACUGGGCGUAAAGCGCGCGUAGGUGGUUUGUUAAGUUGGAUGUGAAAGCCCGGCC